GAUGAACGCUAGCGGCAGGCUUAAUACAUGCAAGUCGUGGGGCAGCAGGUUUGUAGCAAUACAGAUGCUGGCGACCGGCGAACGGGUGCGGAACACGUACAGAACCUUCCUUUGAGCGGGGAAUAGCCCAGAGAAAUUUGGAUUAAUACCCCAUAGUAUAAUGAAGUGGCAUCACUUUAUUAUUAAAGAUUUAUCACUCGAAGAUGGCUGUGCGGCUGAUUAGGUAGUUGGCGGGUAAAGGCCACCAAGCCUGCGAUCAGUAACUGGUGUGAGAGCACGACCAGUCACACGGGCACUGAGACACGGGCCCGACUCCUACGGGAGGCAGCAGUAAGGAAUAUUGGUCAAUGGAGGCAACUCUGAACCAGCCAUGCCGCGUGGAGGAUGAAGGUCCUCUGG
rnacentral:rRNA from 1 species